AAACAACAGGGGCGAACAAGAGCUCCCCCACCAAACCCUAACUUGUGCCAAAUUGAUCAAAUUGGAGGCUCAAAUCAGUUCCAAACCGAUUUUCAAGCAUGAAAUUGUGAUCUCCUCUGAAAAGGGAUCAUAAGGAAAAGAAACCGGAGCGUCAAGUGGACAAGCCGGUGGUGACGCGUGCUUGAAAGGGGUGCUUGAAAGGUGAAGAUGGACCUAAGCCGGAUGGUGAUCAAGCAAUUAACAAGAACCGAAUGCACCAAAUGAAGCUUCCGCAUUUUGUUUAUGUGAAAGCACCGGAUCGAUGACAUAUGUCAAACAUUGCACUUGAUUCAAGACAUGAAGAACAAAAUAUGAAG